rnacentral:sRNA from 1 species
GUGUAAAUCAGGAGACAAUGCAGGGAGGUGGAUGGAGGCCUGGGCUCUGGAGCCAGACUCCCGGCUGUGUGACAUUGAGCUAGUCAGUUAGCCUCUCUGGGCCUCACAGCCCCAAAACAGCUGUGCCCACCUGAGGGUUGUGGUGAGGGUUCUGAAGAAGAUUGUGGCUACCACACUGCAGAGCUGGAAGCUGUUGUGGGGGCCCAGGGCCUGGUGGUGUGGGCACAUGCCCCACCCAUGUGCUCUCGGGCUGUGGACCCAGCAGCUUCCAUCACUGCCAACAGAGCGUGACUAUCACAGCCUGUGCGAGCGGCAGCCCAUUGGGCGCCUGCUGUUCCGAGAGUUCUGUGCCACGAGGCCGGAGCUGAGCCGCUGCGUCGCCUUCCUGGAUGGGGUGGCCGAGUACGAAGUGACCCCGGAUGACAAGCGGAAAGCAUGUGGGCGGCAGCUAACGCAGAAUUUUCUGAGCCACACGGGUCCUGACCUCAUCCCUGACGUCCCCCGGCAGCUGGUGAUGAACUGCACCCAGCGGCUGGAGCAGGGUCCCUGCAAAGACCUUUUCCAGGAACUCACCCGGCUGACCCACGAGUACCUGAGCGUGGCCCCUUUUGCCGACUACCUCGACAGCAUCUACUUCAACCGUUUCCUGCAGUGGAAGUGGCUGGAAAGGCAGCCAGUGACCAAAAACACCUUCAGGCAAUACCGAGUCCUGGGCAAAGGUGGCUUUGGGGAGGUGUGCGCCUGCCAGGUGCGGGCCACAGGUAAGAUGUAUGCCUGCAAGAAGCUAGAGAAAAAGCGGAUCAAGAAGCGGAAAGGGGAGGCCAUGGCGCUGAACGAGAAGCAGAUCCUGGAGAAAGUGAACAGUAGGUUUGUAGUGAGCUUGGCCUACGCCUAUGAGACCAAGGACGCGCUGUGCCUGGUGCUGACACUGAUGAACGGGGGCGACCUCAAGUUCCACAUCUACCACAUGGGCCAGGCUGGCUUCCCCGAAGCGCGGGCCGUCUUCUACGCCGCCGAGAUCUGCUGCGGCCUGGAGGACCUGCACCGGGAGCGCAUCGUGUACAGGGACCUGAAGCCCGAGAACAUCUUGCUGGAUGACCACGGCCACAUCCGCAUCUCUGACCUGGGACUAGCUGUGCAUGUGCCCGAGGGCCAGACCAUCAAAGGGCGUGUGGGCACCGUGGGUUACAUGGCUCCGGAGGUGGUGAAGAAUGAACGGUACACGUUCAGCCCUGACUGGUGGGCGCUCGGCUGCCUCCUGUACGAGAUGAUCGCAGGCCAGUCGCCCUUCCAGCAGAGGAAGAAGAAGAUCAAGCGGGAGGAGGUGGAGCGGCUGGUGAAGGAGGUCCCCGAGGAGUAUUCCGAGCGCUUUUCCCCGCAGGCCCGCUCACUUUGCUCACAGCUCCUCUGCAAGGACCCUGCCGAACGCCUGGGGUGUCGUGGGGGCAGUGCCCGCGAGGUGAAGGAGCACCCCCUCUUUAAGAAGCUGAACUUCAAGCGGCUGGGAGCUGGCAUGCUGGAGCCGCCCUUCAAGCCUGACCCCCAGGCCAUUUACUGCAAGGAUGUUCUGGACAUUGAACAGUUCUCUACGGUCAAGGGCGUGGAGCUGGAGCCUACCGACCAGGACUUCUACCAGAAGUUUGCCACAGGCAGUGUGCCCAUCCCCUGGCAGAACGAGAUGGUGGAGACCGAGUGCUUCCAGGAGCUGAAUGUCUUUGGGCUGGAUGGCUCAGUUCCCCCAGACCUGGACUGGAAGGGCCAGCCACCUGCACCUCCUAAAAAGGGACUGCUGCAGAGACUCUUCAGUCGCCAAGAUUGCUGUGGAAACUGCAGCGACAGCGAGGAAGAGCUCCCCACCCGCCUCUAGCCCCCAGCCCGAGGCCCCCACCAGCAGUUGGCGGUAGCAGCUACUCCGAGCGCCGUUUACAGUUUUGCACAGUGAUCUUCCCCAUUGUCCACUCAAGUCGUGGCCUGGGGAACACAGACGGAGCUGUCCCCAGUGUCCUCCGUCCCUCAGCCCCUGGCCUGGCUGAGUUUGGCAGGGCCUGGGCCAUCCCUGGGACAAAGGUGCGUCCCUUCAGCUCUUCUCCGUGGAGCUCGGGACUUUCUGUAUUUAUGUAUUUGUACGAAUGUAUAUAGCG